UCCCUGGUAGUCUAGUAAAUAAGACUCUGUGCUCCCAAUGCAGGGGGCCCAGGUUCGAUCCCUGGGCAGGGAA
rnacentral:tRNA from 1 species